CUUGCCUCAAAGACAGAAGCUGAAGAGAUCGCUCAGAGCUCCACUGAAUGGAAGCUUGGUCUGGUCUGGUCUGGGAGCAUGAGGAGACCUAGGGUACGGUGGCUCUCUUCCCUUCCUCUGCUCACUUGUUCCACGAGAAAACUCAGAUGACACAGAAACAAGUAACUGAAAAAGUCACGCCACCCUUCCAAAUCCUCUGCUGCCCACACAAACUCCCAAACAGAGGUGCUGGGGUCAGGCCCAGGAAAGCUGUGGGGGCAAGUGGCAGGGACAGUGCCCCUCCCUCUUUGUGUGCAUGUGUGGUGCAUGUGCCUAGAGGGAGAGUUGGUAGAAGACAGCAACCAGAAAAACCUAAUCUUGUGGCUCCCCACUUAAAUGCCUUGUGACUCAUUCAUUCAAAACCUUGCAUCUAUUUAAGCGAUGGUCACCAGGAUGGAGGAGGGGGCUUACUGCUGUCUCAAAGGAUGAAGAGUCACACAAUACAAUGCUUGUAUAUGUCAUCCAAUUACGUGACUGUGAAAUAAAAAUAAUGUGUGAUGCCAAA